rfam:Lepisosteus oculatus linkage group LG1, whole genome shotgun sequence.
UCCCUGGUCGUCUAGUGGUUAGGAUUCAGUACUCUCACUGCUGUGGCUCGGGUUCGAUUCCUGGUCAGGGAA